CCUGAACGCUGGCGGCGUGGCUAAGACAUGCAAGUCGCACGGGCGUAGCAAUACGUCAGUGGCGAACGGGUGAGUAAUGAAUCGCUAAUGUACCCCGGACUCCGGGAUAGCUGCCCGAAAGGGCAGGUAGUACCGGAUGACAUACCUCCAAGGCAUCUUGGGGGUCUCAAAGGUCCGCCGGUCUGGGAGCAGGCGAUUUCGUAUCAGCUAGUUGGUGCGGGUAACGGCCCACCAAGGCGACGACGCGUAGCCGGACUGAGAGGUUGGCCGGCCACAUCGGGACUGAGACACUGCCCGGACUCCUACGGGGGCUGCAGUAACGAAUCUUCCCCAAUGCACGCAAGUGUGAGGGAGCGACGCCGCGUGUGGGACGAAGUCC
rnacentral:rRNA from 1 species